rnacentral:tRNA from 9 species
GUCCGCGUAGCUCAAUUGGAUAGAGUGUCAGUUUCCGAAACUGAAGGUCACGAGUUCGACUCUCGUCGUGGGCA